rnacentral:rRNA from 1 species
UGGGAACGUGCCCAAAGGUACGGAACAACUCCGGGAAACUGGAGCUAAUACCGUAUGUGCCCGAAAGGGGAAAGAUUCAUCGCCUUUGGAUCGGCCCGCGUCUGAUUAGCUAGUUGGCGGGGUAAUUGGCCCACCAAGGCGACGAUCAGUAGCUGGUCUGAGAGGAUGACCAGCCACACUGGGACUGAGACACGGCCCAGACUCCUACGGGAGCAG